UUUCAAUGCAGUCGUGGGUUUCUGUGUCCAACAUUUGAUCGUCCGUCUUAUUUAAUUUUUGUUAUGAUUAGUAUUUUGUUUGUUAUUAGAUGAUAAAAUAUAAAUAAUACUUUAUGCGUGACUUAUUUUUUUUAAUUUUCUAAAAUAUGAUAGAUGGAUAAACAUUAGAUACGGAAACCCACAACUGCACUUAAA
rfam:Oryza sativa Japonica Group DNA, chromosome 4, cultivar: Nipponbare, complete sequence.